CAGUCGCCACGGUAAUACGAAGGGGGCUAGCGUUGCUCGGAAUCACUGGGCGUAAAGGGUGCGUAGGCGGGCUUUUAAGUCAGAGGUGAAAUCCUGGAGCUCAACUCCAGAACUGCCUUUGAUACUGAAAGUCUUGAGUUCGGGAGAGGUGAGUGGAACUGCGAGUGUAGAGGUGAAAUUCGUAGAUAUUCGCAAGAACACCAGUGGCGAAGGCGGCUCACUGGCCCGAUACUGACGCUGAGGCACGAAAGCGUGGGGAGCAAACAGGAUUAGAUACCCCAGUAGUCCCUGUCUCUUAUAC
rnacentral:rRNA from 1 species